CCUACGGGAGGCAGCAGUGGGGGAUAUUGGACAAUGGGGGAAACCCUGAUCCAGCGACGCCGCGUGAGUGAAGAAGUAUUUCGGUAUGUAAAGCUCUAUCAGCCGGGAAGAAAGAAAUGACGGUACAUGAGUAAGAAGCCCCGGCUAACUACGUGCCAGCAGCCGCGGUAAUACGGAGGAUGCGAGCGUUAUCCGGAUUUAUUGGGUUUAAAGGGUGCGUAGGCGGAAUGCCAAGUCAGCGGUAAAAUCGCGGGGCUCAACCUCGCUCCGCCGUUGAAACUGGCGUUCUUGAGUGGGCGAGAAGUAUGCGGAAUGCGUGGUGUAGCGGUGAAAUGCAUAGAUAUCACGCAGAACUCCGAUUGCGAAGGCAGCAUACCGGCGCCCAACUGACGCUGAAGCACGAAAGCGUGGGUAUCGAACAGGAUUAGAUACCCGAGUAGUC
rnacentral:rRNA from 1 species